AAGCAUCAAGCAUCACGUUGACUUUUAUUCGAAGACAGCUCUGUGUCUACACAUAUCCACCAACCGUUGCUUUAUACUACACAUUGUCGAGAAAGCUAGAUCAUGGGAAGAUGGCAUUGAUGCCACAUAGGAUCAAAGGAUUCCAGAAGUGGGAAGUUAACCGUUGGGAAUGGAGUGAGGACGGGCUUAUUAUUAGCCGGUAGACCUUGUUGACGGAAAAGAUAACGAAGGACACAUAAAUAACCGAGUACUGUAGUUGUACUGGGCCCGAGAUCCGAGAAGGUUGUGGCAUUAACUGGCACCACGGGUAAGGAAGGCCAGCUCAAUCAUAGGCCGUCUGAAAACUUAGAUUUCUGAUUGACGCGGUUGGAUUUCUAAUCUGACAUUAAAAGAACACAACGAUGUCGCAAAGAGAGAAUCCAAUCGUAGGAGGCGUGAGGAAAGAGAACAAAUGCGUGGUGGUAAAAUAGAAAAUUUCCAAUAAUUCUAUCUAUCAAAGUGUACAUGGGACGGAUGAAGCAGGUCGG
rnacentral:sRNA from 1 species